CGUCACACGACACGAAAAUGCGCGCCACCCAGCAUUUUCAAGGCAUGCCAUGAAAGCAGUUUGGCUUGGUCUCUGGAGGAGUCAACAGGCUGCAGCAUCAGCAGGUGAGCGUGUGUGUGUGAGCGUGUGUGGUGCAUCGGCGCCGAGUGUGCACCCUCGGACGACGACCGCAGCCAGCACAAAAGUCGACGAAUAGUUCAUUAAAAUAACGAUGCAUGAUUUGCACAGGGAACGGCAGCGCACUCUCUGGCCCCGGCACUCACCAGCACGGAGCGAGAGAGAGAGAGACAUGCAUCGCCGGGGAAUGACGGGGCGUUCAGCGGCGCUCCGUCACAUUAUCCCCUUCCUCCCCGAGGUUGGCGAUGGGCGGCAACCUGGAAAGAUGGCAGCGAUCCAGAGCAGCAGCAGAAGGAGAGUCUUUAUGCUAAUCCGAGAGCUGCUGAGCACCGUGCAGGCCCUGUAAUGAGUGAAGACAAACCUGGUGGAAGCCUAUGAAAGAGAAAGUCAGAGAAGCCUUUUGGGCCUGAAGAUCAAAUGUCUUCAAAGCGUAUCAUGGAACCUGUUAUGUGAGGAGUCACAUUAGCUCACUGGUGAAGCGAAGGCGAAGUGAACACUUGAGGAUGAGUCCUUACAGCCCACCCAACAGUGGAGGGGAAAAUAAAGCUUGAAAUUAGCAUUAGGAGAUUAUUGUCAGGG